rnacentral:rRNA from 1 species
CAGUCGCCACGGUAAUACGGAGAGCGCGAGCGUUACCCGGAUUUACUGGGCGUAAAGGGCGUGUAGGCGGCCUGGGGCGUCCCAUGUGAAAGGCCACGGCUCAACCGUGGAGGAGCGUGGGAUACGCUCAGGCUAGAGGGUGGGAGAGGGUGGUGGAAUUCCCGGAGUAGCGGUGAAAUGCGCAGAUACCGGGAGGAACGCCGAUGGCGAAGGCAGCCACCUGGUCCACUUCUGACGCUGAGGCGCGAAAGCGUGGGGAGCAAACCGGAUUAGAUACCCCUGUAGUCCCUGUCUCUUAUAC